GGAAUUUUCCGCAAUGGGCGAAAGCCUGACGGAGCAAUACCGCGUGAGGGAUGACGGCCUGUGGGUUGUAAACCUCUUUUAUCAAGGAAGAAGAUCUGACGGUACUUGAUGAAUAAGCCACGGCUAAUUCCGUGCCAGCAGCCGCGGUAAUACGGGAGUGGCAAGCGUUAUCCGGAAUUAUUGGGCGUAAAGCGUCCGCAGGCGGUCUGUCAAGUCUGCUGUUAAAGCGUGGAGCUUAACUCCAUUUCGGCAGUGGAAACUGACAGACUAGAGCGUGGUAGGGGCAGAGGGAAUUCCCGGUGUAGCGGUGAAAUGCGUAGAUAUCGGGAAGAACACCAGUGGCGAAGGCGCUCUGCUGGGCCAUAACUGACGCUCAUGGACGAAAGCCAGGGGAGCGAAAGGGAUUAGAUACCCCAGUAGUC
rnacentral:rRNA from 1 species